CACGGUGGUCUAGCGGUUAGAACGCUGGCCUUGUAAUCCUGGGGUCUCGGGUUCGAUUCCCGGCCGUG
rnacentral:tRNA from 1 species